CUGGAAUUCCAUGGCUGAGGUGCAACAGGGUCCCACAGCCUCUCCAGCCUCUGUGGGAAGAAGGAUCAUCUGAUGCCUAUGUAAUAGAGUUGCUGAAGGAGUGGAAGCAGCUUUGACAUUAUCAGUGGAACCCACCAGUGCAGACUGCUUCACCAAGGGCACCUGAGGCAGCAGAUCUGAGGAUUAGGGACGUAGGGAGCUGAAGCCUGGCUGGAGAGGUGGUGCGCACAAGAACCCCCACAUUCCCCGACAGGAGCCUGAAAAAGGCAAGACGCCAUGUUGGGAGGACACGGAAGCAGUUCUAGGGAGAGGAGCACAUGGCAAGAAGCCA
rnacentral:lncRNA from 1 species